UCCACCUGCCUCUGCUUACUGAGCGCUAGGAUUAAAGGCAUGUGCUACCACCGCCACCUGGCACUGGUUGGUUUUGGAGGCAGAAUAUAGCUCAGCCUGUCUUCAAAACCACUCUGUAGUGGAGGAUGACCUUGAAGUUCUGUCCUCCUUUCUCUUCCUCUGAAUUGCUGGGAUUAGGCAUGCACUACCAAGCCUGGUUUUUAAGGAGAGAGGGGCUCACCAAUUUAUAUUGUUGUUCAUGGAUUUGCCCUAAAUGAAAUAAGGAUAGCAAAUAAACCUGAUUAUAAGGCAGUUUUCUAAGGACUUUGGGAGCAUGGAAUUAUUUCUAUUCACGGAAUAAGUAUUGAAGUGUUGAUAAUAUUAUCAUCUGGGUUUUACAGAUGAAAAGAAUAAAGGAGGUCACAUAACUUGCCAAAGACUGUAACUAAACAAGCUUUUACAGAGCUUCCCAUCUUACCAACAAGCAUCUGUGAUCUCAUGGACACUUUCCACAUACUCAGGCAUAGAUGUAUCACCACUAUGGUUAUGAUAAUGCCCUACAUGAAAAGACUCUGAACUGUCUCCAACAUCACAUCUGCUUGCACCCUCAUGCUCCCCACCAUGAUGAUAAUAAACAGAAUCUCUGAAAUUGUAGAACCCUCUGAAAGGAUCUGGGUCACAAAUAAGUGAACUGUUCAAGACCACAUGACAGCACCCCUCUGAAAUGAAGCAAGAGGAAGCUGAUUCACUCUCCUUGUGGUUUGAUGUACAGAAUUGCCUCAUUUUCCCAGCAAUGGUAUUUGUUGUUGUUUUUUCUCCCAACUUGCUCAUGUAGUAGAAAU